GUUAGGAAUAUUCGUCAAUGGGGGAAACCCUGAACGAGCAAUGCCGCGUGAAGGAAGACGGUCCUCUGGAUUGUAAACUUCUGUUGUUAGGGAAGAACGACCUGUGUAGGAAAUGACACAGGAGUGACGGUACCUUUCAAGAAAGCUCCGGCUAACUACGUGCCAGCAGCCGCGGUAAUACGUAGGGAGCGAGCGUUAUCCGGAAUUAUUGGGUGUAAAGCGUGUGUAGGCGGGAAAUUAAGUCUAAGGUCUAAGCCCGGAGCUCAACUCCGGUUCGCCUUAGAAACUGAUUUUCUUGAGUGUGGUAGAGGCAAACGGAAUUUCUAGUGUAGCGGUAAAAUGCGUAGAUAUUAGAAGGAACACCAGUGGCGAAGGCGGUUUGCUGGGCCACUACUGACGCUGAGACACGAAAGCGUGGGGAGCAAAUAGG
rnacentral:rRNA from 1 species